AUGAACGCUGGCGGCGUGCCUAAUACAUGCAAGUCGAGCGAACGGACGAGAAGCUUGCUUCUCUGAUGUUAGCGGCGGACGGGUGAGUAACACGCGGAUAACCUACCUAUAAGACUGGGAUAACUUCGGGAAACCGGAGCUAAUACCGGAUAAUAUUUUGAACCGCAUGGUUCAAAAGUGAAAGACGGUCUUGCUGUCACUUAUAGAUGGAUCCGCGCUGCAUUAGCUAGUUGGUAAGGUAACGGCUUACCAAGGCAACGAUGCAUAGCCGACCUGAGAGGGUGAUCGGCCACACUGGAACUGAGACACGGUCCAGACUCCUACGGGAGGCAGCAGUAGGGAAUCUUCCGCAAUGGGCGAAAGCCUGACGGAGCAACGCCGCGUGAGUGAUGAAGGUCUUCGGAUCGUAAAACUCUGUUAUUAGGGAAGAACAUAUGUGUAAGUAACUGUGCACAUCUUGACGGUACCUAAUCAGAAAGCCACGGCUAACUACGUG
rnacentral:rRNA from 1 species